ACCUGGUUGAUCCUGCCAGUUGUCAUAUGCUUGUCUCAAAGAUAUAAGCCAUGCAAGUGCAAGUAUAAACUCGUUUUUGUACAGUGAGACUGCGAAUGGCUCAUUAAAUCAGUUAUAAUUUAUUCGGUGGUGAGGUCUUCGGACACUAGAUGGAUAACCGUGGAAAAUCUAGAGCUAAUACAUGCAGAAAGCGGCGUUUGGCCGUGCGUAUAUUAGAUACCAAGCUGUUCCAUUUUUGUGGACGGUGAGUCAUAAUAUCCAAGCGGAUCGCAUGGGGCAACCCGGCGACGAACCGAUCAAAUUUCUGCCCUAUCAACUUUGGACGGUAGCGUAGUGGGCUACGGUGGUUAUGACGGGUAACGAACCAUGGGUGUGGGAUUUCGGAGAGGGAGCCUGAGAAACGGCUACCACUUCCAAGGAAGGCAGCAGGCGCGCAAAUUACCCAAUUCACAAAGUGAGAGGUAGUGACAAUAAAUAACAAUGGUCGAACCGCAAGGUUGACCAAUUGGAAUGAGAACAAUUUAAAACGCUUAUCAAGAAUCGAUUGGAGGGCAAGUCUGGUGCCAGCAGCCGCGGUAAUUCCAGCUCCAGUAGCGUAUACGGUCAUUGUUGCAGUUAAAAAGCUCGUAGUUGGAUUCUAUUUUAUAAAUUUUAGAAAAAAAUUAUUUUUUACAAAUAGUUUUGUAUUUUUUUUUUUAUAAAAUAAUAUAUUUUAAGGAGGUGAUAUAAUAAAUUUUAUUUUAUUAUAAUGGAACGAAAGUAAAGUCUCUUUUUUUUAAUUUUAAAAAAGGGGGUCACCCCUUAUAUUUUACUUUGAGUAAAUUAGAGUGUUUAAAGCAAGUUUUAUUUUUUUAAAGAUAUUUCGCUUGAAUAGAUUAGCAUGGGAUAAUGAAAUAGGACUUUCAGUUGAAUUGUUGGAACAGUUUGUCAACUGAUAGUAAUGAUUAAUAGGAGCGGUUGGGGGUAUUCGUAUUGAAUUGUCAGAGGUGAAAUUCAUGGAUUUGUUCAAGACGAACAUCAGCGAAAGCAUUUACCAAGGACGCUUCCGUUAAUCAAGAACGAAAGUUAAGGGAUCGAAGAUGAUCAGAUACCGUCGUAGUCUUAACCAUAAACUAUGCCGACCAAGGAUGGCGGGUCGUUGCAUGGAUGACUCUCGCCGAACUUUUGAGGGAAACCAUUGAGUGUUUAGGUUCUGGGGGGAGUACGGUCGCAAGGCUGAAACUUAAAGGAAUUGACGGAAGGGCACCACCAGGUGUGGAACCUGCGGCUUAAUUCGACUCAACACGGGGAAACUUACCAGGCCCGGACACAGGAAGGAUUGACAGAUUGAUAGCUCUUUCUUGAUUCUGUGGUUGGUGGUGCAUGGCCGUUCUUAGUUGGUGGAGUGAUUUGUCUGGUUAAUUCCGUUAACGAACGAGACCUUAGCUUAUUAAUUAGAUACUUUUAUAUAUAUUUUUUUUAUGUAUAGAUAGUACCAAAGUUUUUUUUGGAUUAUAAUUUUAUAUUAUAAUGCUUCUUAGAAGGACUUUUAGCAUCCAGUUAAAGGAAGUGUAAGGCAAUAACAGGUCUGUGAUGCCCUUUAGAUGUUCUGGGCUGCACGCGCGUUACAAUGAAUAGUUCAACAAGUAUUCAUUUAUACUAUAUUUUAUGGUGUAAAUAUCCUGGUUUGAAGAAAUUGGGUAAACUUUUGAAAGCUAUUCGUGCUGGGGAUUGGCGAUUGUAAUUGUUCGCCAUGAACGAGGAAUACCUAGUAAGUGCAAGUCAUCAACUUGCGCUGAUUACGUCCCUGUCCUUUGUACACACCGCCCGUCGCUCCUACCGAUGAAUGGUCCGGUGAAAUCUCGGGAUUUUAAACAAUAAAUUUAUUUGUUGUGUAAAAAAACUUGCUUAAACCUUGCCAUUUAGAGGAAGGAGAAGUCGUAACAAGGUAUCCGUAGGUGAACCAGCGGAAG
rnacentral:rRNA from 1 species